rnacentral:rRNA from 1 species
GAUGAACGCUAGCUACAGGCUUAACACAUGCAAGUCGAGGGGAAACGACAUCGAAAGCUUGCUUUUGAUGGGCGUCGACCGGCGCACGGGUGAGUAACGCGUAUCCAACCUGCCCAUCACUUGGGAAUAACCUUGCGAAAGUAAGACUAAUACCCAAUGACAUCCCACGAAGACAUCUGAAUGGGAUUAAAGAUUUAUCGGUGAUGGAUGGGGAUGCGUCUGAUUAGCUUGUUGGCGGGGUAACGGCCCACCAAGGCAACGAUCAGUAGGGGUUCUGAGAGGAAGGUCCCCCACAGUGGAACUGAGACACGGUCCAAACUCAUACGGGAGGCGGCAGUGAGGAAUAUUGGUCAAUGGGCGAGAGCCUGAACCAGCCAAGUAGCGUGCAGGAUGACGGCCCUAUGGGUUGUAAACUGCUUUUAUAAGGGAAUAAAGUGGGUCUCGUGAGACUUUUUGCAUGUACCUUAUGAAUAAGGACCGGCUAAUUCCGUG